GCCAUCUUUAGUUGAAUUUCCCUAUGUUUAGUCACCAAGUACAACCUCGAGAAAGCAUUCAUAUUCCCGGAUGUUUUGCCCAUUUUUCACAUUAUGACUAUGAACUUCAUUGUACUUUAUUGGGGUUUGAUUUUCCGGACCAAAACAAAAAUGUGGACAAUGGUAAAGUGUUUCUUGAGAUUUUGUUUUGUAUAAAUACCAACCUAAAAGGUCUGUAUUGCAUUUCUUCACCCAGUUCGAUCGCAUGUACCAGCCCCUAAACAGCAGGAAGGUGGAGGAGCCUGAGUCCUCCAUUACUGGGCGCCUGGUUAAGCUGAGCCUGAUGAUCCUGGGUGGAGGAGCCGCGGCGUACUACUUCCACACACAUCACCCAGACGCCACACCCACCCUGCUGUCCAACAUCCGUCCACAGACAGUCUGAAGAUGAGAGUAGAACUCUAGAGCGUUCAAUCCAAUCGGCUCAAAAUCAGACUGAUGACAGUGACAUUGUAUUUUUUUUGUGUGUGUGUUUACUUUUUGUGAACUCUUGGAAAUGGAUUGCCAAAUUAUGCUUACUAGGCGACUGUUUCAAAAUACAAAUGUAGAUUUAAAAUGUGUUUGUGCUUUUAAACAGGUGAGCUAAACUUCACAUUGGCUGUUGUAACGUAAGCGAUAUUCUCAAACACGUAUAUUUAAGUAAGUGAUUUUUGUUUUCUAUCGCAAAUGCAAAAACAUAAAAAAAUAACUUUUGUUGGGUUUUUUAUUUUUCAAAAUUAUUAUUUUUUUCUCAAUUAUCACCCAUUUUCUGUUUACUGACAGAGUCCAUCAGAUUUUUUAUUAAACAUCUAGUAAGUAUGUUUUGUUUUUCCUCAAAAGCCUCUCCCCUGAAUGUCGUUGGUGCCGAAUGCAUUGCACCUUUACACGUACCGGCCCGCUUUAAUUCUGCAUGUGUCACUUUUUUUUUUUUUUUUUGCACAAUUGAGGAACAUUAGAAAAUAUACUGUACCAUACCCUGCAACUGCUUUAUUUCAUCUCCUGGAUGUCUGUUAUAUGUCUGUUUCAUCAGACAUAUAACAUAACGUUUGUGUGCAAAAACGAUUGUUUCAUCAGAACCUGCAUAUUCAUAACAACAGCACCCUUCAUAUUUUUUGGAACCACAUUUCUAGAUGUGCGAAGUUCAUCAUGUUCAUCUUGUAUUCCGGCAUCAAAUUUUGAGUAAAUGUUUUUCAAAUAGAGGAUAGUUACCAAUAAAGUCGGCAAUAUUUAUUGGGAAUCCUAACAGAAGUAUCUUUCAGUUCAUAAUUCAGUAUCCAUCUAAAAUCUAGUGAUUUUAUCAUCUAUGGCUUCCUGUUUCUGUUGAGUAUAAAUAUGAUCUUUUCUCCUCAGUCAGAUAGUGCUAUAUUAACCUUCUACGUUUUGCAUGAGAUUAGCACCACCAAAUUGAAGUCCUAAAUGAAAUAUUUUUGCAAUA